GUAGUGAGGAGGCUGGGUGUCUAAUACACACACAGGUAGUGAGGAGGCCGGGGUGUCUGCUGCUGUUCCCAUGGCCCUGCUGUGCUGCGGGACAGUCCCUCGAGGUAAUAGGUUGGCUGCCUCACACUUGAGGUUUUGUUUUUCCAGCCCUCAGGUGAAGUCUUCAUUAUUCUUCUGUAGCUGGACCUGAUCUAGCCACAGCCAGCAUCCCCAGAACAUCCCUACACCGAUUCUCCCACUCAGGACUGGACAUGUAGCCUGUGGCCCUUCCAAUCAAUGCCUCCACCAAGGCAGGUGUGACUUGCUGAUGGGCAGUUGGUUUCCCUUGAGACUUGCAGGGCAGUGGACUGGCAUACCCACGCCUGGUCCCCAUGAGAGCACUUCACUUCAUCUGAAUUCCUGGAAUUUGAGCUAAAAGCAGUAGGUGGGUGAGAGUUUUGUGAGGCGAAGAGGUCUGGCAGUAGGUGGUCUGUGGAAGAGAAGCGG
rnacentral:lncRNA from 1 species